UCCACAAAGCCUCUUUUUUUAACUUUUGACCUCGGAUCAGGUAGGGAUACCC
rnacentral:rRNA from 1 species